GACGAACGCUGGCGGCGUGCUUAACACAUGCAAGUCGAACGGAAAGGCCCUGCUUUUGUGGGGUGCUCGAGUGGCGAACGGGUGAGUAACACGUGAGUAACCUGCCCUUGACUUUGGGAUAACUUCAGGAAACUGGGGCUAAUACCGGAUAGGAGCUCCUGCUGCAUGGUGGGGGUUGGAAAGUUUCGGCGGUUGGGGAUGGACUCGCGGCUUAUCAGCUUGUUGGUGGGGUAGUGGCUUACCAAGGCUUUGACGGGUAGCCGGCCUGAGAGGGUGACCGGCCACAUUGGGACUGAGAUACGGCCCAGACUCCUACGGGAGGCAGCAGUGGGGAAUAUUGCACAAUGGGCGGAAGCCUGAUGCAGCAACGCCGCGUGCGGGAUGACGGCCUUCGGGUUGUAAACCGCUUUCGCCUGUGACGAAGCGUGAGUGACGGUAAUGGGUAAAGAAGCACCGGCUAACUACGUGCCAGCAGCCGCGGUGAUACGUAGGGUGCGAGCGUUGUCCGGAUUUAUUGGGCGUAAAGGGCUCGUAGGUGGUUGAUCGCGUCGGAAGUGUAAUCUCGGGGCUUAACCCUGAGCGUGCUUUCGAUACGGGUUGACUUGAGGAAGGUAGGGGAGAAUGGAAUUCCUGGUGGAGCGGUGGAAUGCGCAGAUAUCAGGAGGAACACCAGUGGCGAAGGCGGUUCUCUGGGCCUUUCCUGACGCUGAGGAGCGAAAGCGUGGGGAGCGAACAGGCUUAGAUACCCUGGUAGUCCACGCUGUAAACGGUGGGUACUAGGUGUGGGGUCCAUUCCACGGGUUCCGUGCCGUAGCUAACGCUUUAAGUACCCCGCCUGGGGAGUACGGCCGCAAGGCUAAAACUCAAAGGAAUUGACGGGGCCCCGCACAAGCGGCGGAGCAUGCGGAUUAAUUCGAUGCAACGCGUAGAACCUUACCUGGGUUUGACAUGGAUCGGGAGUGCUCAGAGAUGGGUGUGCCUCUUUUGGGGUCGGUUCACAGGUGGUGCAUGGCUGUCGUCAGCUCGUGUCGUGAGAUGUUGGGUUAAGUCCCGCAACGAGCGCAACCCUUGUUCACUGUUGCCAGCACGUUAUGGUGGGGACUCAGUGGAGACCGCCGGGGUCAACUCGGAGGAAGGUGGGGAUGACGUCAAGUCAUCAUGCCCCUUAUGUCCAGGGCUUCACGCAUGCUACAAUGGCUGGUACAGGGAGUGGCGAGCCUGUGAGGGUGAGCGAAUCUCGGAAAGCCGGUCUCAGUUCGGAUUGGGGUCUGCAACUCGACCUCAUGAAGUCGGAGUCGCUAGUAAUCGCAGAUCAGCAACGCUGCGGUGAAUACGUUCCCGGG
rnacentral:rRNA from 1 species